rnacentral:rRNA from 1 species
UACGUAGGCGGAAAAUUAAGUCAGUAGUGAAAUCCUGCAGCUUAACUGUAGAACUGUUAUUGAUACUGGUUUUCUUGAAUAUAGUUGAGGUAGGCGGAAUGUGUAAUGUAGCGGUGAAAUGCUUAGAUAUUACACAGAACACCGAUUGCGAAGGCAGCUUACUAAACUAUGAUUGACGCUGAGGUACGAAAGCGUGGGGAGCGGACAGGAUUAGAUACCCUGGUAGUCC